UACGUAGGGGGCUAGCGUUGUCCGGAAUCAUUGGGCGUAAAGAGCGUGUAGGCGGCUCGGUAAGUCCGCUGUAAAAGUCAAAGGCUCAACCUUUGAAUGUCAGUGGAUACUGCCGGGCUAGAGUCCGGAAGAGGCGAGUGGAACUCCUGGUGUAGCGGUGGAAUGCGCAGAUAUCAGGAAGAACACCAGUGGCGAAGGCGGUGCUCUGGGCCGGAACUGACGCUGAGGAGCGAAAGCGUGGGGAGCAAACAGG
rnacentral:rRNA from 1 species